UGUUUUGUAAUUGGAAUGAUAGAAAUUUAAACACUUUUUAAAGUAUCAAUUGGAGGGCAAGUCUGGUGCCAGCAGCCGCGGUAAUUCCAGCUCCAAUAGCGUAUAUUAAAAUUGUUGCAGUUAAAAAGCUCGUAGUUGAAUUUCUGCUAAAAAUAACCGGUCUGCUUUAAAUAAAAGUGGUAUCUUGGUGUGUUUUUAGCAAUAAUGUCCUUUGAAAUGUUUUUUACUUCAUUGUAAUAGAUUAUAUUAAGGAUUUUUACUUUGAGAAAAUUAGAGUGUUUCUAGCAGGCUAACGCUUUGAAUACUGCAGCAUGGAAUAAUAAAAUAGGAUUUUGGUUCUACAUUAUUGGUUUUAAGAGCUAAAUUAAUGAUUGAUAGGGACAGUUGGGGGCAUUUGUAUUUAACUGUCAGAGGUGAAAAUUCUUAGA
rnacentral:rRNA from 1 species